AUACCUUUCUGGGCCUUUUGGUUAAGAUGAAGUAUUUAAUAUAUGUUUUUAUGAGCUUAAUAUUUAAUGUGUGCCAUGAGACACUUAUGCAUUGUUAUUGCUUGGCACUUAUGCAUUGUUAUUGCUUGGCACUAAUGCAAUGACUAGAUGCAUCCUUC
rnacentral:snRNA from 1 species